AUAGAACAAGAAAGACUGGUCUCAUGUGACGUGGGGCAACACUUUUUCUUGGAGAUAGAACCCUGUAAGAUGGCGAAGAAAGAAGAAGGUGUAUGCCUAGUUGGAGUGAACGUAGGUGAUCCACCUGUUUGUUUUUUCCACCCAACAACAGAACCCAAGCUGGUGGUGUACAUGCAAGUAGGAGCCAGGAGAUGACACUAUUACCACUGCUCAGAAGAUUUGUGUAGGGAGAGAGGGAAAAGGAGAGUGAUUCUGCAGGUCCACUUCAGUGUAUGCAGGACUCUUUUUUUGGUCCACGCCGUUAUAGCAGCUUUGCCGUAACCUGUGGCAGUCUUCAGUGCUGAUUUUGUGACCUACUCCACCAGCACUAAUGCUCACAGUAAAUUCACUUGUAAAGCUGGUUUGGUAAAAUCUUGCUACACUGUUCAGUUGCCACACAUCGGUCUCUCAAGAUUCUGUUCCUGUUUUCUACCCUGAUUACAUCCAUUUUCUGUUUUUUCUCUUUUUUUUAAACAUUUGUUUUCUGAAGGACACUAGGGCAUCAGUAGUGUGAGCUUUUCUCAGAUCUUUUUAGCUAUUAUUUAUUAUAUUCCAUUGCCAUGACCAUAAAUAUUUACAAAUUUCUGUCAUGGCCAAUUUUCAUUAUUGUCACAUUCCUUAAAAGAAGUUCAUUUGCUCACUUUAAGUCUUGUUGCUUUGAGUAUGAGUAAUCUAAAUGUAUGACCUAGCAGCCCACAUAACCUUCUCACAAUACUACAGUGCCAAAAUUGAAUAAUCCACAAGCCAUAUUGGGGAGCUAGUUCUUUAUUUGCUUGGUUUUCGCAGACCAGGGUAAUGUGAACAUAUAUGAAAAAAAGAAAUCCAAAAUUUCAUUUCUUAACAAUAAAGAUUGUUUUCUCUGCCUGAAUUAAGGUUUUAUGAAAUAACAAAAAGGACAUGAAGGAAGACAUUUUCAAUGUUUUUUUUCUGUUUUUUUUUUUCAGAGGUCUUCCUU